rnacentral:rRNA from 1 species
GAUGAACGCUGGCGGCGUGCCUAAUACAUGCAAGUCGAGCGAAUGGAUUAAGAGCUUGCUCUUAUGAAGUUAGCGGCGGACGGGUGAGUAACACGUGGGUAACCUGCCCAUAAGACUGGGAUAACUCCGGGAAACCGGGGCUAAUACCGGCUAACAUUUUGAACCGCAUGGUUCGAAAUUGAAAGGCGGCUUCGGCUGUCACUUAUGGAUGGACUCGCACCACAUUAGCUGGUUGGUGAGGUAGCGGCGCACCAAGGCAACGAUGCGUAGCCGGCCUGAGAGGGGGACCAGACACACUGGGGCUGAGACUCCUCCCAAGCUCCAAGGGGAUACAGCAGUGGCGAAGCUGCCGCUAUGAACGAAAGUCUGGCGUAGCAGAGCCGCGUGAGUUAUGAAGGCUUUCGGGUCGUAAAACUCUGUUGUUAGGGAAUAACAAAUGCUAGUUGAAUAAGCUGGCACCUUUACGGUACCUAACCAGAAAGCCGCGGCUAACUACGUGCCAGCAGCCGCCGCCG